CAUAAAGUGUAUAAAAAUCAAAUUUAAUUUGUAAGUUUUGAGAAAGAUGAUAUACUAUCUGCUUUGUUCAUUUUUUUUUUAUAAAUAAAUUUUGAUUAAAAAUAUGAAGCAAGUAAAUUUCAAAUUUAGAAUUUAAAAUACCAACUAUUAAAUUCUUGCCAUUUGCGCUGUGAACGAUUAAUGAUUUUGAGGUUUUAUUAUAGACUUUUAAAGAUUAUGUUUG
rnacentral:lncRNA from 1 species